rnacentral:rRNA from 2 species
UACGUAGGGUGCAAGCGUUGUCCGGAAUUAUUGGGCGUAAAGAGCUCGUAGGCGGUUUGUCGCGUCUGCUGUGAAAUCCCGAGGCUCAACCUCGGGCUUGCAGUGGGUACGGGCAGACUAGAGUGCGGUAGGGGAGAUUGGAAUUCCUGGUGUAGCGGUGGAAUGCGCAGAUAUCAGGAGGAACACCGAUGGCGAAGGCAGAUCUCUGGGCCGUAACUGACGCUGAGGAGCGAAAGCAUGGGGAGCGAACAGG